AGGGGGCCCUACCAAAUUUUGGCUGAAGAACGAGCUAGAGAACCAGGAAAUAUAUUCUUUAGAAUGGAUUUGGCUUUCUUUUUCUUUUAUUAUGCGAGUGCAUUUGCUUAAGCUUCCUGGCUGCAGUAGUUCUUGCUUCACAUAAAUGGUGUACCUACAACUUAUGCCCUUUCAAAAUAUUAUUACCUUGAGAAAAAUGGAGGAGUUUGACAGUAGAAAGUUACAGAUUUCCCUUAAAUCUGAAGAUUAUUUUGUAGGUCUAAGAAAAAUAUAUCCCUGAAUAUGUUAACCUAGAAGAUGGUAAAAAAAAUAUCUUCCUGAAUGUGUAGUACUGCUAACAAACAGACAAAUGGGUAAGUACAAGAUAAUAGAAAGUGUCCGAUUUGUCUUGCUGCCUGAAGAUUAACUUUUAGGCUAACAUAUCAGUGUAUAUGGUGAUAUACAAGAUAGUCAAAAAUAUUUACCUGAAUGUGGAGAGUACUGAAUUAAAAAUGAAUGAAUAAAUGGAUUAUAAGCUUAUUCAUUUCAUCUUAUAGAUCUCCAAUCGGUUUGCAAGGAUACAACCAAUAUGAAGGCCGCCAAGUCAUCCAAUAUUCUAGAAUAUUCCACUUAGUCAGCAAAGGGGCAAAAGGGUAAUAGGAAUAUAAUAAAAUGUCUAUAAAUGUGAUAGGGGGAAUGUAGUGAAUUCUGUUUAGAAAAGUGGGGAGAGAUCAAGGCCUCUUGAAUGCCUUGGAUUAUGUUUAAUUUCAUGCCUUUCAUUCCAGUUUAUAUCAAUAAAAAUAAUCUAUUUUUACAAUAUACAAUUCCAUUAACUCCAUAGACAUCAUCUUGCAGUCACAUUACAAUUUCAGUGUUCAAUCCCACAAAUUAGUGUAGCAACCAGUUCCAGCUACUAUUCCUCUGGAUCAGCAGCCAGAAUCUGCAGUUUAACAACCAUAUCAGCCAGGAACCUAUCAUCAUCAUCCAUGUUAAUUUCCAAUCCAUGCCUGAUGAGUGCAGAUGCAGCCAAAUUGGUUCUCAUGUUUUUAACUGAGCUUUGAAUUUAUUUCCCCUCCUCCAUAUUGUCUUUUUUCUUCAUCUCUGUCUUCUUAUUCUUCUUACAAUUUGAGGUUCUGAUUUGUCUUUUGCUUCUAUAGUUGCUGAAUCUUUUGCAUUUUGGAAAGAAUGUAUAUAGCCUCAAUUAUGCUUUCUAGGAACAGCAAUCAAUUAAUGUGGACUUAAUAUCUUGGACCAGGUUGUAAGAGACAAGCGGACGGGCAAAACCAAGGGCUAUGGAUUUGUUAGUUUUUCCAACCCUUCAGACCUUGCUGCAGCACUUAAAGAAAUGAAUGGGAAAUACGUUGGAAAUCGACCAAUCAAACUUCGUAAGAGCACCUGGAGAGAGAGGACUGAUGCUGAAGCCUUGGAAAGACAAAAGAACCAGUCUCAGAAGAAGAUGAAGCUGCCAAAAAAGAGUGUGUUGCACAAAUGACAGACCAGUCAAUAGCAAUGUUGAUCAAGGUCACGAAGUGGGGACAAUUUGAAGAUUUGAUUGUGUAUUGAAUAUUAUUACGUUGCGUUUGCUUUUGUAUGCACAAAUUCUUGAAUUUAGUUAUAAAGGAAUUGAAGGAUGAAAUAUAUUGGUCUUAUGGUUGAUUCAA